AUUCACUAUCGAAGAUAUUGACUUACAGUACGCCAGACACAAUUGAAACUACCAAUUCUCUGACCUCCUUACUGUAUCAACCAAAGCUCUCCUGGAUUCUGCAGAUCUGCGCCAAAAUCCCAGCCUUGAAUAUCUUCAACCUCUCGUGAAUCACCAAGCACUCCUGCUCUUCAAGCAAUUUCCUUCCCGGAUCUUCAAACCGAUGAUCUUCU
rnacentral:lncRNA from 1 species